UACGUAGGGUGCGAGCGUUAAUCGGAAUUACUGGGCGUAAAGCGUGCGCAGGCGGUUUUGUAAGACAGAUGUGAAAUCCCCGGGCUUAACCUGGGAAUGGCAUUUGGGACUGCAAGGCUUGAGUGCGGCAGAGGAGACUAGAAUUCCUGGUGUAGCAGUGAAAUGCGUAGAUAUCAGGAGGAAUACCGAUGGCGAAGGCAGGUCUCUGGGCUGACACUGACGCUCAUGCACGAAAGCGUGGGGAGCAAACAGG
rnacentral:rRNA from 1 species